rnacentral:ncRNA from 1 species
GAAUUGUUAUCCAUCUGGGCCACUCAGUCAGAAAUGAUUGAGAAGUCAUCCGUCAAAUUCGGUGAAGCCUUAACUGGUAAUACCGAGCCAAGUCCCGCCAUAGGCGGGAAAGGUGUAGAGACUAGACGGCGGACAUCCAACACUUUCUGAAGAAAGUGCGGGAUGAAGGUAUAGUCCAGACCACGAA